UUGACCUCGGAUCAGGUAGGAAUACCCGCUGAACUUAAGCAUAUCAAUAAGCGGAGGAAAAGAAACCAACAGGGAUUGCCCUAGUAACGGCGAGUGAAGCGGCAACAGCUCAAAUUUGAAAUCUGGCUCUCGGGCCCGAGUUGUAAUUUGUAGAGGAUGCUUUUGAUGCGGUGCCUUCCGAGUUCCCUGGAACGGGACGCCAUAGAGGGUGAGAGCCCCGUCUGGUUGGAUGCCAAAUCUCUGUAAAGCUCCUUCAACGAGUCGAGUAGUUUGGGAAUGCUGCUCUAAAUGGGAGGUAUAUGUCUUCUAAAGCUAAAUACCGGCCAGAGACCGAUAGCGCACAAGUAGAGUGAUCGAAAGAUGAAAAGCACUUUGAAAAGAGAGUUAAAAAGUACGUGAAAUUGUUGAAAGGGAAGCGUUUAUGACCAGACUUGGGCUUUGAUAAUCAUCUGGGGUUCUCCCCAGUGCACUUGUCUUUCCCAGGCCAGCAUCAGUUUUCCCCGGGGGAUAAAGGCGGAGGGAAUGUGGCUCUCUUCGGGGAGUGUUAUAGCCCACCGUGUAAUACCCUGGGGGGGACUGAGGUUCGCGCA
rnacentral:rRNA from 1 species